rnacentral:autocatalytically_spliced_intron from 1 species
GAAAGCUGUGUGCGUUAAUAACGCAUGCACGGUUUGAUGAGGAAGGGCUGGUGAAAUUGACUAUGGAAUGGCUAUUGAGGCACCGCCAAACGAAAGGGGCGGAAACAGAUAUAGCAUGUCCCCUAUAAAUUGAUUGUAAUUUACAGAUGACCUAUCCGAU